GAUGAACGCUGGCGGCGUGCUUAACACAUGCAAGUCGAACGGAAAGGCCCAAGCUUGCUUGGGUACUCGAGUGGCGAACGGGUGAGUAACACGUGGGUGAUCUGCCCUGCACUUCGGGAUAAGCCUGGGAAACUGGGUCUAAUACCGGAUAGGACCUCAUUUUGGAUGGUGUGGUGGAGAGAUUUUCGGUGUGGGGUGAGCUCGCGGCCUAUCAGCUUGUUGGUGGGGUAAUGGCCUACCAAGGCGUCGACGGGUGGCCGGCCUGAGGGGGUGUACGGCCACAUUGGGACUGAGAUACGGCCCAGACUCCUACGGGGGGCAGCAGUGGGGAAUGUUGCACAAUGGGCGCGAGCCUGAUGCAGCGACGCCGCGUGGGGGAUGACGGCCUUCGGGUUGUAAACGCCUUUCGCUAGGGACGAAGCGUUAUGUGACGGUACCUGGAGAAGAAGCACCGGCUAACUACGUG
rnacentral:rRNA from 1 species